rnacentral:rRNA from 1 species
UACCCGCAGCACAAGUGGUGGUCAUUAUUAUUGGGCCUAAAGCGUCCGUAGCUGGCUUGUUAGAUGCCUGGGUAAAUCGAUGCGCUCAACGUAUCGAACUCCGGGUAGACCGGCAAGCUUGGGACCGGGAGAGGCGUGAGCUACUCGAGGGGUAGGGGUAAAAUCCUGUAAUCCUUCGGGGAGGACCAGUGGCGAAGGCGAAUCCCUGGAAAAUACCUGACACUGAGGCACGAAAGCUAGGGGAGCAAACAGG